AGACCAAAGAGGGGGACCUUCGGGCCUCUUGCCAUCGGAUGUGCCCAGAUGGGAUUAGCUAGUAGGUGGGGUAACGGCUCACCUAGGCGACGAUCCCUAGCUGGUCUGAGAGGAUGACCAGCCACACUGGAACUGAGACACGGUCCAGACUCCUACGGGAGGCAGCAGUGGGGAAUAUUGCACAAUGGGCGCAAGCCUGAUGCAGCCAUGCCGCGUGUAUGAAGAAGGCCUUCGGGUUGUAAAGUACUUUCAGCGGGGAGGAAGGCGAUAAGGUUAAUAACCUUGUCGAUUGACGUUACCCGCAGAAGAAGCACCGGCUAACUCCGUGCCAGCAGCCGCGGUAAUACGGAGGGUGCAAGCGUUAAUCGGAAUUACUGGGCGUAAAGCGCACGCAGGCGGUCUGUCAAGUCGGAUGUGAAAUCCCCGGGCUCAACCUGGGAACUGCAUUCGAAACUGGCAGGCUAGAGUCUUGUAGAGGGGGGUAGAAUUCCAGGUGUAGCGGUGAAAUGCGUAGAGAUCUGGAGGAAUA
rnacentral:rRNA from 1 species